GACGAACGCUGGCGGCGUGCUUAACACAUGCAAGUCGAACGGAAAGGCCCUGCUUUUGUUGUGUGCUCGAUUGGCGAACGGGUGAGUAACACGUGAGUAACCUGCCCUUGACUUUGGGAUAACUUCAGGAAACUCGGGCUAAUACCGGAUAUGAGCUCCUGCUGCAUGGUGUGGGUUGGAAAGUUUCGGCGGUUGGGGAUGGACUCGCGGCUUAUCAGCUUGUUGGUGGGGUAGUGGCUUACCAAGGCUUUGACGGGUAGCCGGCCUGAGAGGGUGACCGGCCACAUUGGGACUGAGAUACGGACCAGAAUCCUACGGGAGGCAGCAGUGGGGAAUAUUGCACAAUGGGCGGAAGCCUGAUGCAGAAACGCCGCGUGCGGGAUGACGGCAUUCGGGUUGUAAACAGCUUUCGAAUGUGACGAAGAGUGAGUGACGGUAAUGGGUAAAGAAGCACCGGCUAACUACGUG
rnacentral:rRNA from 1 species